rnacentral:lncRNA from 7 species
GUAUUCGCACUGCAUGCCUCUCACUCUCCCUCUCCCUAGCGGUCUCCACAUGUGAGAAACGCCUCUCUAGUAAUUAAGCAGCAUGGCAGAGAAGGUGAUGAUCUCUCUCUCUCUCUCUCUCUCUCUCUCUCUCUCUCUCUCUCUCUCUCUCUCUCUCUCUCUCUCUCUCCCAAACUCACCUUGCAGAAUUUGAAGCUGACAAGAUCGAGUCGUUCUGCACACAUAAAAACAGUCGUACCGUAGAUGGUUUCUGUUUCGAUGCACGCUUUUAAAUUGUUUGUUCUUUAUGCGAAGUUUACGUUUCGAUGUACCUGAAUUAAUUUGCGUGCUCGUCGAUCUGCACAUGCUGUUCUAUUUUUUUUCCUUUCUUCUUUCGAAAACGGAAGCAGCAACAGUGCAGUGGAGCGCAGCAGGAAUAUAUCGAAAAGCUCUCCACCUAUACUAUACUAUAUGUUGAUCGAUCUGUAUAGGAAUAAAAAACCCCCAUUCUUCUUUAUUUCAGAAUCUAGCUAGCUAGCUGGUUCCUGUGUUCGUAUCGCAUUCGCAUAUAUAUGCUUUUUGGUGCCUUAUUUCUUUCUCUUUGGCGAGAGAAUAUAUAUAUUCUUUCGUGGGCACUUU